UACGUAGGGUGCAAGCGUUGUCCGGAAUUAUUGGGCGUAAAGAGCUCGUAGGCGGUCUGUCGCGUCUGCUGUGAAAACUCGGGGCUUAACCCCGGGCCUGCAGUGGGUACGGGCAGACUAGAGUGCGGUAGGGGAGACUGGAAUUCCUGGUGUAGCGGUGAAAUGCGCAGAUAUCAGGAGGAGCACCGGUGGCGAAGGCGGGUCUCUGGGCCGUAACUGACGCUGAGGAGCGAAAGCGUGGGGAGCAAACAGG
rnacentral:rRNA from 1 species